rnacentral:rRNA from 1 species
AUCCAGAGAAUUUAGCAGAGAUGCUUAGUGCCUUCGGGAACUCUGAGACAGGUGCUGCAUGGCUGUCGUCAGCUCGUGUUGUGAAAUGUUGGGUUAAGUCCCGNAACGAGCGCAACCCUUAUCCUUUGUUGCCAGCACGUAAUGGUGGGAACUCAAAGGAGACUGCCGGUGAUAAACCGGAGGAAGGUGGGGAUGACGUCAAGUCAUCAUGGCCCUUACGAGUAGGGCUACACACGUGCUACAAUGGCGCAUACAAAGAGAAGCGACCUCGCGAGAGCAAGCGGACCUCAUAAAGUGCGUCGUAGUCCGGAUUGGAGUCUGCAACUCGACUCCAUGAAGUCGGAAUCGCUAGUAAUCGUAAAUCAGAAUGUUACGGUGAAUACGUUCCCGGGCCUUGUACACACCGCCCGUCACACCAUGGGAGUGGGUUGCAAAAGAAGUAGAUAGCUUAACCUUCGGGAGGGCGUUUACCACUUUGUGAUUCAUGACUGGGGUGAAGUCGUAACAAGGUAGGCGUAGUGCU